rnacentral:rRNA from 1 species
ACAGAGGGUGCAAGCGUUAAUCGGAUUUACUGGGCGUAAAGCGCGCGUAGGCGGCUAAUUAAGUCAAAUGUGAAAUCCCCGAGCUUAACUUGGGAAUUGCAUUCGAUACUGGUUAGCUAGAGUGUGGGAGAGGAUGGUAGAAUUCCUGGUGUAGCGGUGAAAUGCGUAGAGAUGCGGAGGAACACCGAUGGCGAAGGCAGCCCCCUGGGCUGACACUGACGCUCAGGCACGAAAGCGUGGGGAGCAAACAGGA